rnacentral:rRNA from 1 species
AUGGCGGCGACCGACGACAACAAGGCCGUGGAUGCCUUCCUGGCGUCGUGCGCCGAGUCCGGCGACACCGCGUACGGCGCGGCCAAGGCCGUUCUCGAGCGCCUCCAGGCCCCCGCCUCCCGCGCCGAGGCCCGGCGCCUCCUCGGUUCCGUCCGCCGCCGCUUCGCCGACCCCGCCGCCGGCCAGGACUGCUUCCGAACCUUUCACUUCCGCAUCCACGACGUCAUCUCGACCCCCACCUCCAAGGGAUCCCGGCAAACAAAGAAACUAACGAUGAUGGAGAUACCUAGCAUUUUCAGUCCUGAGGAUUGGUCCUUCACUUUCUAUGAGGGCCUCAGUCGGCAUCCAGAUUCCAUUUUCAGGGAUAAGACAGUAGCAGAGCUGGGAUGUGGGAAUGGUUGGAUAUCCAUUGCGCUUGCAGGAAAGUGGCUACCUUUGAAGGUCUAUGGUCUGGAUAUAAACCCAAGAGCUAUCAAGAUUGCACGGAUAAACCUUUACUUGAAUGCGCUUGAUGACGAUGGUCACACAAUCUGCGAUGUGGAGGGGAAAACGUUGCUUGAUAGAGUUGAGUUCUACGAAUCCGAUCUUCUGUCUUACUGUAGAGACAACAAGCUAGAACUGGAUCGAAUUGUUGGAUGCAUACCACAGAUUCUUAACCCCAAUCUAGAGGCAAUGUCAAGGAUUAUAACUGAAAUUUCAAGUGAGGAGUUCUUGUACUCUUUGAGCAACUACUGUUCUCUUCAGGGUUUUGUUGAGGACGAGUUUGGCCUUGGAUUGAUUGCUCGUGCAGUUGAAGAAGGGAUAGCUGUCAUAAAGCCUAUGGGUAUUAUGGUAUUCAACAUUGGUGGUCGACCAGGACAAGGUGUCUGUGAGCGCGUAUUUCUACGUCGUGGAUUUCACAUCAAGAAGCUCUGGCAAACAAAAAUUAUGCAGGCUGCCGACACUGAUAUUUCAGCUUUAGUUGAAAUUGAGGAGAAUAGCCCACAUCGAUUUGAGUUCUUCAUGGAUCUAGUUGGGGAUCAGCCUGUCUGUGCACGUACAGCCUGGGCAUAAAUGAAAUCUGGUGGCCACAGUUCACAUUCUUUAUCUGUGUACAGCUGUCAACUUUGCAAUCCCAACCAGGUGAAGAAAAUAUUUGAGUUUCUUAAAGAUGGAUUUCAUGAAGUCAGCAGUUCCCUUCAUUUGUCCUUCGAUGACGAUUCUGUUGCUGAUGAAAAAAUUCCCUUCCUAGCAUACCUAGCUAGUUUUUUGAAAGAUAAUAAAACCAAUCCUUGUGAGCCUCUAGCUGGAUGUCUAAACUUCCGGAAUCUUGUUGCUGGAUUUAUGAAGUGCUACCACCACAUCUCACUGACAUCUGAUAAUGUUGUUGUAUUCCCUUCCCAUGCUGUGGCAAUAGAAAAUGCUCUUCAAUUGUUCUCACCGGCCCUUGCAAUUGUUGAUGAACAUCUGACCAGACAUUUGCCGAAGCAGUGGUUAAGAUCUUUAGCGAUUGAGGAAAGAGCAGACGGUAAAGACACUAUCGGUGUAAUUGAGGCACCACGCCAAUCAGAUUUGCUGAUCGAGUUGAUCAGGAAAUUGAAGCCUCAGGUUGUUGUUGCUGGCAUGGCUCAAUUUGAGGCUAUCACCAGUGCUGCUGUUGUGAAUUUACUAAGCGCAACGAAAGAUGUUGGUUCUCGGUUACUCCUAGAUAUAUCAGAGCAUCUGGAGUUGUCUAGUCUGCCAAGAUCUAAUGGUGUAUUGAAAUAUCUUGCUGGAAACUCCCUACCUUCCCAUACAGCUAUACUGUGCAGUUUAGUAAAGAAUCAGGUAUAUCCUGAUCUGGAAGUUGCUUUUGUCAUUUCUGAAGAUGGAGCUGUCUGCAAGGCACUAUCACAAACUAUUGAACUAUUGGAAGGGCGUACCUGUGUAAUCAGCCAGAACUAUUAUGGCUGUCUUGUCCAUGAGCUGCUGGCUUUUCAAAUUGGUGAGAGGCAUCGGCAACAAAAGAGACGACCUGCAGAAGUGAUACCUGAGAAGAUGAUAGGAUUUUCAAAUUCAGCUAUCUCUAUCCUAAAAGAAGCUGACUUUUUUGUUCCUGAUUCCAAGGAAUCUGGCGUCAUUCAUAUGGAUUUAGAUCGUAGCUUCUUGCCAGUACCUUCUGCAAUGAAAGCCUCCAUUUUUGAAAGUUUUGUUAGGCAGAACGUCACUGAUUCUGAAACUGAUGUCCGUUCCAGCAUCCAACAGCUAGUGAAAGAUAGCUAUGGUUCCCCAACAAACUAUCAUUCUGAAAUUAUAUAUGGCCACACCUCCCUUGCACUCUUCCGCAAACUUGUUCUUUGUUGCAUGCAAGAAGGAGGUACUUUCCUAUACCCCUUGGGCACCAAUGGUCACUAUGUCUCGGCAGCAAAGUUUAUGAAUGCACGUACGCUCACUAUUCCAACAAACGUGGAAUCAGGCUUCAAAAUUGAACCAUUGGCUCUGGCUGAUGCAAUUCGCAGUGUGAACGCAUCUCGGUCAUGGGUUUAUAUAUCUGGUCCCACAACAAAUCCUUCUGUCUUCGUGUACAGUAACAAUGAGAUAGAAAGUUUGCUUUCUCUUUGUGCUAGUUCUGGAGCUAGAGUAGUGAUAGAUACCUCUUUCUCUGGUCUGGAGUUCCAAACUGAUGGUCGGAGUCGGUGGGAGUUGGAUUGGUUUCUUUGUGAUUUAGAUCCCAAACUCACCGUUUUUCUACUUGGAGAGCUGUCCCUUGAGAUAGCUACGGCUGGUCUUGACUUUGGAUUUCUAAUUUGGCAUAACCCGCACUUGAUUAAGUAUAGUUUCCCAAGCUUGAGCCGUCCACAUAGCACAUUAAAGUACACUUUCAGAAAAUUAUUGGAUCUUAAGAACCAGAUGGAUGAGCAUUUCUCUGAUCUAAUAGUGGAGCAAAAGGAGACACUGAAGAACCAGGCCAACCAGUUGAUGAAGACACUUGAGAGCUGUGGCUGGGAUGUUGCUGGCUGUCAAGGUGGUGAAUUCCAGCGGGCAAUGGACUGCAUAACUCGGUUCAAGGAGUUGGUUCUGUGAGGAGGCGAUGCUCGGAUGAAGGGUAACUAG